rnacentral:rRNA from 1 species
GACGAACGCUGGCGGCGUGCUUAACACAUGCAAGUCGAACGGAAAGGCCCUGCUUUUGUGGGGUGCUCGAGUGGCGAACGGGUGAGUAACACGUGAGUAACCUGCCCUUGACUUUGGGAUAACUUCAGGAAACUGGGGCUAAUACCGGAUAGGAGCUCCUGCUGCAUGGUGGGGGUUGGAAAGUUUCGGCGGUUGGGGAUGGACUCGCGGCUUAUCAGCUUGUUGGUGGGGUAGUGGCUUACCAAGGCUUUGACGGGUAGCCGGCCUGAGAGGGUGACCGGCCACAUUGGGACUGAGAUACGGCCCAGACUCCUACGGGAGGCAGCAGUGGGGAAUAUUGCACAAUGGGCGGAAGCCUGAUGCAGCAACGCCGCGUGCGGGAUGACGGCCUUCGGGUUGUAAACCGCUUUCGCCUGUAACGAAGCGUGAGUGACGGUAAUGGGUAAAGAAGCACCAGCUAACUACGUG